rnacentral:misc_RNA from 1 species
AUAAAGUAAUAAAUAUAUCCCAAGUAGUGGCUGCUGGAAAGCCGGGCUCCACCAGGCCUCAAGUUGAGUGUGUGUGGAAAAGUGAACCAGCCCCUAACGACCGCAGGGGCUCCGAGCUGUAAGAGAGUGACCGGAAAAAUGAUUCCAGUCCCUAACAACCUCAGCCGCCCCAUCUUCUCGUUUGCAAGCGAGAGUGGGCUGAAAAGUGCUUCUAUCCCCAACGAUCGUAGCAGCUCCAAACAGUAUGAGAGACAGUAAGGGGAAAAGUGCUAUCAGCCCUAAACGACCGUAGCGUCCCCUGAAGCUGUAUGACAGCUUAAGUACCGCUAGUUUGGAACAGCUUUUGAGCGAGAGAGAGUGGAGAAGUGAACUGUCCCCCAACGAUCGUAGAGCCCCAUGUAGAUAUGAGUUUACAUGUAAAUAAAUAUGUAAAAAGCAUCUCGUGUGUCAGCGAGAGUGAGCGGCAAAGUGCCGCCAUCCCCCAACGACGGCAGCCGACCGUAGGAAAAGUGCCAGGACCCAGGAGCAGCGUAUGAUUCUCCAAUGGACCAUCAAGCGACUGUGAAAGACCCCGCCCCUUUCCCCUUGAUGGCCAGCUGUGGAAGGAGGUCAAGCAGGAGGUGGA